UAUGGCCAUAUCACAUUGAAACACCGGUUCCUGUAUGAUCACCAAAGUUAAGCAAUAUCAAGCUUGGUCAGCACCUAGAUGGGUGGCUGCUUGGGAAUACCAGGUGCUGUAAG